rnacentral:rRNA from 1 species
ACGCGAUGAACCUUACCAGGUCUUGACAUCCCACUGACCGCUAUGGAGACAUAGCUUUCCCUUCGGGGACAGUGGUGACAGGUGGUGCAUGGUUGUCGUCAGCUCGUGUCGUGAGAUGUUGGGUUAAGUCCCGCAACGAGCGCAACCCUUGUUCUUAGUUGCCAUCAUUUAGUUGGGCACUCUAAGGAGACUGCCGGUGACAAACCGGAGGAAGGUGGGGAUGACGUCAAAUCAUCAUGCCCCUUAUGACCUGGGCUACACACGUGCUACAAUGGACGGUACAAACGGUUGCCAACCCGCGAGGGGGAGCUAAUCCGAUAAAACCGUUCUCAGUUCGGAUUGUAGGCUGCAACUCGCCUACAUGAAGCUGGAAUCGCUAGUAAUCGCGGAUCAGCAUGCCGCGGUGAAUACGUUCCCGGGCCUUGCACACACCGCCCGU